rnacentral:rRNA from 1 species
CAGUAGCCGCGGGAAAACGUAGGUGGCAAGCGUUGUCCGGAAUUAUUGGGCGUAAAGCGUGCGCAGGCGGUUCGUUAAGACAGAUGUGAAAUCCCCGGGCUUAACCUGGGAACUGCAUUUGUGACUGGCGAGCUAGAGUAUGGCAGAGGGGGGUAGAAUUCCACGUGUAACAGUGAAAUGCGUAGAGAUGUGGAGGAAUACCGAUGGCGAAGGCAGCCCCCUGGGCCAAUACUGACGCUCAUGCACGAAAGCGUGGGGUGCAAACAGGAUUAGAUACCCCAGUAGUCCCUGUCUCUUAUAA